rnacentral:rRNA from 1 species
UACGUAGGUGGCAAGCGUUGUCCGGAUUUACUGGGCGUAAAGAGCGCGCAGGCGGUCGAAUAAGUCGAAUGUGAAAGCCCCGGCUCAACUGGGAGGUCAUUCGAUACUGCUCGACUUGAAGGCAGGAGAGGUAGUGGAAUUCCGGUGUAGUGGUGAAUGCGUAGAGAUCAGGAGGAACACCGUGGCGAAGCGCGCCUGUCGUACUGACGCUGAGACGCGAAGCGCGGAGCGAACGG